rnacentral:rRNA from 1 species
GACGAACGCUGGCGGCGUGCUUAACACAUGCAAGUCGAACGGAAAGGCCCUGCUCUUGUGGGGUGCUCGAGUGGCGAACGGGCGAGUAACACGUCAGUCACCUGCCCUUGAAUUUGGGACCACUUCAGGAAACUGGGGCUAAUAGCGGAUAGGAGCUCGUGCUGCAUGGUGGGGGUAGGAAAGUUUCGGCGGUUGGGGCUGGAUUCGCGGCUUCUCCGUCUGUUGGUGGGGUAGUGGCGUACACAGGCUUUGACGGUUAGCCGGCCUGGGAGGGUGACACGCCACAUUGGGACUGAGGUACGGCCCAUACGGCUACGGGAGGCAGCGGUGGGAAAUAUUGGACAAUAGGCGGAAGCCUGAUACAGCGACGCCGCGUGCGGAAUGACGGCCUGCGGGGUGGAAACCGCUUACGCCGGUGACGAAGCGUGAGUGACGGUAAUGUGUAAAGAAGCACCGGCUAACUACGUG